rnacentral:tRNA from 1 species
GCCUGGCUGGCUCAGUCAGUGGAGUGUGCGACUCUCGAUCUCAGGGUUUGUGAGUUCAAGCCCCACGUUGGGCG